ensembl:lincRNA
GUCCUGCGCCCCCUCGGGAGUGCGCGCACUCCCGGCGUGUCAGCGGCCCCAAACCCACCACGGCCGCCGCGUCAUCCCCGCUCGCCCCUCCGAUUCCACAGGCAGCAAGACCUGUUGCUGCAGAAAAGCGGCCCGGCUGGGUGUUUCAGGCCUCUCCCCGCCCUCCCUGCCCCGGCCGGCGGCAAUCUUCCAUCAGAGAGGGAGGCGCGUCCCGAGGUCUGAGCGCAGAAGUCCUGGGUCUCUGCCUGAAGACACGCAGAGAGCCCAGCGCUGAUGCAAAAACCACGUGUGAAAGGCCGGGUGGCAGCAGGUCAAACACCCCAGUGCAGAGGGCUCUUCCUCCCCGCUCUGUGACCACGGCCCACAAUCCCACUAACCCCCGCUGGGAAUGGAGGGGCGCGGGGAAUGGCGCGCGGGGUGGGGGCGGCGGUGGAGGAGCUCCUUCUGCUGAAAAAGCGCAGAUAGCCCUGGCCUUGUCUUUCCACCUGAAGAACAGAAUGCCUGCCCUUUGGGUCUCGACCCUUGGGUCAGAAUCAGGCUUGCUGAAGAGCCCCGGAGCCCCUCCAUGACGAAUUCGCGCCUCCAGCUUCAGCACCAGAGGCUGGACAGCGCCCCGGGCCGUAGGCGCUCGGGCUAGCUUCUCCCGGCUCCGAACUCCCCGCCCCACGCGGCUCGCACUCUCCACUUCGCAGACCCUAAGCAGAGGAGCCACCAUUUUGGCCCGAAUUUCCAGUGACAAGUAAAAAAAGAAAAUACCAAGAGGCUGCCCCAGGAAACCACUCUGAUCAGACUGCGGCAGCGGUGCUCCAGGCAGACUCUUCCAGAAGCAGCCUGGAGGUGUUCGCGCCACUGCCUGGGGGCAGGGAGAGGGAUUUGCCCUCAAUUACUAACUCAUUCACCCAGCAACCACCCACUGCAAGAGGGACCUGCUCGUCUAGGGCGAAGAGCCCUGAGCUCUGGGCCGUGGCGCCCACGGCUGCUGGGGAGAACCCGGCAGUGUGCAGGCUGCUGGCUGCAGGAGCAGGUGGGGCUGUGCGGGGCAGGACCCUGGCUGGAGCUGGCCGCCCUGGGGGUGCAGGAGCCUGCUGGUGGCCGCGAAGCUUCUCCCUGGCCGGAGAGUCAGCAUGGCUGGGCACCAAGGCUUCACCCUGGGAGAACCUGGAGUGGGGAAGCCUGCCCCUCAACGUGCUUGGGGGCCACCCCCACCCAGGCAGCGGUGAUCAGAAAACCAUUUCGCACCCUUUCUCUAUGCCUCAGUGGAGGGGGGCGGACUUCAGGUUCCAAUGAUGAGACCCUCAAUGGGGCUCAAUUUUUCAAGCAAGCCCAGUGGUCCUCCUUACUCCCUUCCAAGUGUAUUCCCAACCCCCUCCUCCAACCUCACAGGAGACACUUGGCACUCUCCGGCUCUAGAGCAGAGAAGGGAAAUGACCUUGAAGCAGGAAGGCUAGGAGAGUCUUUCCUUUAGAAUACUAUAGCAUCUUACAAACAUAAGCUGGGUUGGGAAUGAAACUCCUUUGGGGAAAUACCACCAUGAACUGAGCUCACUCUGCCUCUACCACUUGCUAGCUGUGUGACCUUUGGCAAGGCACCUAAUCUCUCUGAAUCACAUCACCUGUCACCUCCACCCAGAGGCUGCUGCUGGCGCUGCUCCCCUCCUCUCCUCCGAACUGCUUUUCCUUCCCCAUUCCCUGCCUCUUAAGUUUCGGUUUAUUCCUACCCCUGCCUGAAGCCAGCGAGCAGCAGCAGGUCCUAUUAGAAAUCUCAUUCACACUCGAGAGGGUUGCAAAUUGGUGUCACUCAGUGGGUGUCUGCCUCUUUAGUGGGGAGAGGGACCUGGGUUGGGUAGGAGGGGCAGAGCUGGGGAUCGGGAGAGGGAAGGAGUCCAGCUUCCAGGACUGGGAGAGGGAGGGAGGUGGGGGACAGCCUGGCACAGGGAAACAAAACGGAAACAAAAUAAAAAAACACUGGGGAGGGCGAUGGUUUGCACUCCUGAUUUGAGAACUAGAGUCCCUAGUGAUACCUAGUAGGAUGGAAAACAGGGGGAGAGGACACUCCGGGUAUCAGGGUGGAAGGGGGCCUGGCUGCAAAGCCAACAAAGCCGAGCUCCAUCCCGGCUCCACCUGUUACUAGCUGUGUGGCUGAGCCUUCCCAUCCCCGUGCCUCGGCUUCCUCGGUGUGAAAGGGAGCCAGCACAUCGACCUUGCUAGGGUCUUACGAUAACUAGAGAAGCGCCUUCAUUCGCAAGCACAGUGCCUGGCACGUGGAUACGCUUACUAACCACCUCUUUUGCCUCCGCUUUCAUGCUAACCUCUUCCCCAACCCCCUUCCAGGAAAGAGGAACAAAUGGGAGACAUCAUCUUUCCAUGAGUCUCCUCCAUCAUGUGUGUUGUCCCAUAUAAAUGUUUCUCUUUCCCCUCCCCAGAUCAGUAUCUGGCCCAUUUCAGGGGCUCAACAGGUACUGAAAGAGUGAAUGUAAGCCAAGUCUCCUUCCCGGUUCAAAAUGUAGGAAUGAGGCUUAGAGAGGUUGUUUGACUUACCUCUAAGUCACCCAGCAAAACAGACAACUUAUUACUUUUUAAAGUAACAUUCUAGGAGUCGCAGAACACAAUAGGGGUGGAGACUCGAGGAUCAGGCGUCCGCGUACCCUUAACCUCCACCAAUCCUGCACCAGCAGUAGCCAGAAAGACAGCUUUCCGAUGAGCUGGGAGGCAGCGCCCUCUGCUGGAUAUUCUAGGUAGCUGUUACAGCAGGUAGGCAAAAGCAGUGGUUCUCCUUGCUGCACUCAGGAAUCACCCGGAGAGCUGUAAAAAACGUGGCAUUGGUGUGGAGAAAGUGGCCAUGGUGGCUGCUGGGGGUAGGGAGUGGGAGGAAGAGAUGAGAUGUGGGGGUGUUUUUGGGACUUGGAGUUGUCCUGGGUGGCGCUGCAGGGACAGUUACCGGACAUCUUAUGUCCUCCCAUGGCCCACUGGGUGGACUGUGGGAGAGUGUGGGCUAUGGUGUGGACCAUUGUCCAUGAGGUGCAGCAGUGCUCAGAGAUGUAUCCGCCAAGAGCAAUGAAUGUGUCAUGAUGAUGGAGGAG